rnacentral:piRNA from 1 species
UGAAAGAAAGCCUUUAAUUGGGGACUCUAU